rnacentral:rRNA from 1 species
GUCUGAUGUGAAAGCCCUGGGCUCAACCCAGGAAGUGCAUUGGGAACUGUCAGACUUGAAUACGGGAGAGGGUAGUGGAAUUCCUAGUGUAGGAGUGAAAUCCGUAGAUAUUAGGAGGAACACCGGUGGCGAAGGCGGCUACCUGGACCGAUAUUGACGCUGAGACGCGAAAGCGUGGGUAGCAAACAGGAUUAGAUACCCUGGUAGUCCACGCCGUAAACGAUG